CUUUCUUCUUUUAUUCUCUUUCUUCUUUUAUUAUUUUAUAUUGUCUUUUUUUUCUUUUGACUGAAUCUGCCAAAAAUCUUUUGCUUUCUCAAAACGUCCAUUCAAUUGUUCCCUUACCCCAACCAAGAAAUUUUUCUUUCAAACGUCCCUUCACAUGAUUAAACAUGUUUCCGCAUCUUUAUCUUCCAUCUGCAACCACAUCAACCAUUCAACAACUAAGAGUAUAGAUAAGCAACAACAAAAUUGAAAAGGAUGAGAAGAAGAAAGGAAGAACAUCGAGGCUUUUUUUCUUCUGGUCAGAUCUGACCCGAUGGCCCUGACAUUUUUUCAAUUGGAAACAAAUUCAAGAGGAGCUGAAAAGAUGGUACCUUCAAGAUGUGUGGUGAACAAAUUGAGUGAAUCAUUCUCAUAAUUCCCCAGUAACAAGUGGAUGUUACUGGAUGAUAUAUGGAGAAAUAUUUAUUAUAUUUAUUAUAUUUAUUAAACAUUGGAUAUUUAUUAUAUUUAUUAUAUAUAAUCAAUGUGUUGUAUGUAAUAUAUAUUUAACAUAA